AGGGUCGGGCUCUGCUCGGUUCAGAGCAGUCGGGUGGUGCCGAGGCAAGCGGCGGUCGUCUCAUGUCCUCCUCACCCGCCAGCCCCGCAGUGGUACAGCCGGGGAACCUCUCCUUCCCCGCACCCAGCAGGUCCCAGCGAGGGGCGGGUGCUGCGUGCGCCGCCGCUGCCCUCAGCGGUUCAGCCCGGCUGUAACACCCCAUCCCCGCCGUGCGAUCCAGCGGACAAGGGUUUUAAGAUUUUUGUUUUGUUUGUUUGUUUUUCUGACAGGACUACCUGCAGGUAAACUAUGUGACUGAGAGCAUCGUACAGGAAUUCCUUGAACUCUGACAGGUUUGGUGCUGUGACCACUUCCAGUGACUGAGCAUCCUCUCAGUGAAGAUCCUUUUCCUAAUGUGGAAUCUGAACUUCCUUGGUGCAUCUUUAUACUUCUUCAACAUAAACCGUUCUAUUUAUGGAUCUCUCUGUGUAGACAAACUUGAUUUUAAUUCUGCUGGUGAAGGAUAGACCUGGAUUUUACGUGUCCAUUGUGCAGAAUAACAGUGCAGUUAUAGCAGAGAAUAGUAAUGGUUGCAUUAUUCCUGCAUGCUAUUUAUAGCUGACUACAUCUUUGUGCUCUGUGCAUGAGUCAAAGGUCGUACACUCCCAGGAUCUGCAUUCCUUCAAUACAUCUCGGGGAAUUACAGAAAUGCAGUCUGCUUGAGUUUGAAAUUACCAUUCUUCAAAAAUAUAGUAAUCAUGUACCAUUUUGCCUUCUGGACAGUUUUGGUCAAGGCUAGAACCCCAGCCUGAUAUUUUAACUGCUUUCCUUCCAUGCAGAUUUUGUACCGCAUCAGAUUCGAGGUGCUUAACAUUCAGGGCAACACCCAAAAAAAGAUGGGCUGAUGGCACAGUCAGCAGCUUAAUAUCUCAGCACACCAGAGCAAGAAAGAGAAGGGCUGGUUUGAGUUUGUGGGAUGAAUUCCUGUGGGAGCAAAUAAUUAGCACUGUCCUACAUAGAAUGUAAAAGAUGGGAUAAAAGGGACAUGGUGGUCACAUUUCUUAGUUUUCUACCAGAAGUAUUUUUGAUGCUGCUGUAGGAGGUGUAUUCUCAGAUUCUGGCCAGAAUAUCCCAUUGCAGUCCCUAAUUUGGGAAAGAAAAUUUUCCUUGUUUGGAUUUUUUUAGACAAAUUGUUACCAUUAAGUAGAACAGGAAUGAUAGAAAUCAUGUUGUGGUAAAAGCUGUUCCUUCUACCCUUGAGUAAGAUUUCUUCAUAAAAUGUCUUGAAGGUGGUGGUCUGAGGUCAUAGGUUUGUGUAGUCAAGAAAUAUUGAGAGUUGAGGCAAGAAGGUAUUUGUGGUUAAUUGAGGCAUUUGAAAGGUUUCAGAACUCAUGAAUGGUUGUAUUCUAAGAAUAUCUGAUUGUGGAGCACCAGAAAUACUUAAUCCUGGUUUCCCACAAUUUUGUGUCCUCUGUGUUUACAUCAUCUAUGCCUCUGUCUUGCCACAACAGGAUAGAUAACUUUAGUGCUCAACAGAGACAGUAACUUGGGUUUUUCUCCUUGACUCAGAUAUUGAUCUUCAUGAUACUUAGAGAAUUUUAUCAUCUCAGAGACUUCUGUUCCUCUUUCAUAUUUGUUCACAAUCAGCAGAUUGAUUCCAAACGUGUAUGAGAGGGAAGAGUAGAAACCAAUAGAUAAGCAGACAUCAUACACAGUCCUUUUUCUUUUUUUUUUUUUUUUUUUGUGAAAACUAGGCUAAAAGUGACAGUCUUAACAUUAAAGAUAAAUUAGGAGUUUGUCUUUAUGAGUUUAUAUUUAUAAACUAUUAAGUUUUGACUGCAAAGUGGGAAGAUGUAAGUCUAUCUAACCUUCAAUUAAUUCAAAGCCAGAUUUGUUCUGUGAGGUACUGAUGAUUAGAAGAGAAUGGCAGACCAUAGGGAGAAGUUUAUGAGGUAGCUGAUAUACAUGCAGAGAAACCUUACAUGCAUUAACACAGGAUUCUAGUAUAGCUAUGGAGUUAGAUGAGGGAUCUGGAGUGCUCUGUGAUAUAAAAGUAGGCCUUGAGGCAAAAAAAAAAGAAAAAAAGAUAGGAAGGAAGAUGGCAGAGCCAUAUCCAUUUAAAAGAAUGCCUUUAGUGGUAUAAAGAUAAAACAUAAGUAAUUGGGUUUCAAUUGGAGGAUAUCACUGCAGGUAAUGUAAACAGCUAGUUACAUUGUACCCAAAAACUACUCUUUUCACAGUUUCUUUAUGCUGCCAUAGCCUUGUACUGGGCUUGUGUGGCAAGGUUUUGGCAGAGGGGGGCUGUAGGGAUGGCUCCUGUGAUGGGCUGCCAGAAGGUUCCCACAUGUCCAAAGGAGCAAUGCCAUAAUCCUGUUUACAGAAGUAAAUGUGUGACUGCAGCUAGAAAAAGUGAGGAGUCUGGCAGCAGGAUUUGCGGAAAAAAAAUAUUUGCUGUAGCUCAGAAUGAGUAAACAGUAGCAUAUAUUAGAGCAGUGGUUUAAAUCAGUCAUCAUGAAAAUUAAUCAAACCAGUGAACAGAAAACUUUGAUUUAAAUGAUGGUUUAUAAUCUUAAAUUACAGUUGUAUUGUUUCUUAAAGACUGAUUUUUCCCUGAUUGUUAACCAUUAAAAUGUGCUGAUUAUAAUCUUUAUGCAUAAUUUAGCAUUUCUUUUUGCUAACAAAGCGGACAUGCUAUAGCUACAUACGUCUAAGACAUUUCAGAUUUUAACAUAACAUCUUAAUUUUUACAUACAUUUCACUAUUUUGAAAGAUGAUGUCUGUUUCAUUUCUUUUUUUUUGCUAAGUAAUUAUUGCACUUCUACUUGUGAUUCAUAUGAGACUCCUAGUGGAUAAAUACAGGAAUUGAAAGAAAACAAUGAGGGAAAAAAUCUCUUUGUAGUUGCUUUUAGUUAAAUAAAAUUACUAUAAGUGUAUGUGUGCCUUAUUCUUAAGAAGAUUGUCUAAGUAUGCUUUGCACUGAGAAACUUUUAUUAAAAAAUGGAAGUAUACUUGCAGGAAUAUAAUUUGAUUUGAACACUCAGUCUUUCAAACAUGUAGAACUAGGAGAGAUCAUCCAGUCAUCUCCAGCUCUUUUUUUAUUUAUGGAUGGAAAUAAUGGAUAAUUCAUUUAAGUGAGCUGGCUGAAUAAACAGAAAUGAAGGAAAUACUGCCACCUUGCUUGCAGAAAAAGAUACUUGUCAAAAAAUGAUUCAACACUUCAGCAAACCAAGAUUAAUCCUUCAGCAACUUGAACAGAAGAGACGGAGAGAAGUUACCAGGGAAGAACGUUUUUUUGCCUUACAUUUAAAAUCAAGCACAAAGUCAGGAUCUUCUAGAAACCAGCUCUGGUCUUCUGGUGCCUGCGCUGUUCUCAGCCCCAGAACAAAUGAAAAUCUGUGGCAUUUGGGGGCAGUGAUUUUCCUCACGCUGAGGAGCGAUCAGGACACGAGUGUCAACACUUUUUAUAGUUGUGGGUAGAACAGCAGAGCUGCUGCUGUGAGAGAAGUCUAGUAUGUGUUUUGAUACCACUGCUCACUUUCAAUAAAUGCACAAAUAAGGUUUGGAUUAUUCUGCAAUUUAUUCAGUUCAGUGAAAGCUACUCCCUAACAUUUGCACAGGGCCUAGGAGAAGGGGCAGCUCACACUGAUCAACAGUGAUCACUUUGGAAGCUGGUUGAGAAGCGUGGAGAGGCCAUCACCAACCCCAUCUCCUGAGAGGAGUGUGAAUCAUGAAUUGAGUGGAUACUCGAAAAACCAGGAUCCAGUGGAUGGAGCUUGUGCCCACCAAGUCAAAGCAGAGCAGAGCAGAGCAGA